ACACCUCAACUCUCAUGGUUUGCCAUGAUGAGCUUGGACUUUGGGGGUCUUGCCGGCCUAUGGUCGGCUCCUCUAAAAUGAAUCAGCUUGCCAGUGUUUGGUGGCGUCGCAGGUGUGAUAACUAUCUACGCUUGUGGCUUCCCACCAGGUAACCUCCAGCAAUGGAGGUUCGCUGGGGCUCAUAAAUGUCUCUCCUCAGCGAGGACAGCUUUUUGAAC
rnacentral:misc_RNA from 1 species